rnacentral:lncRNA from 1 species
CAAAAUAAAUAUCUAUAGCAGCUUAGAGGUAUGUAAAUGGUGGUUUCUUCAUUGUCUUCUCUCUGACGGUGGCGAGAAUGAUGCAGAACUGUAGGCUGUGUGUGCACUGCGGAGGCUCGUCGGAAGCUUGUCUGCCUUGAUGUUCAUUAAACUCUACGGACCCCCUCUUGCGCAAUGGAACCCAGAACGAUAUGCGACCACUUUGUUAUCGCGAUACUGUUCUACCGAGGACACCCAAACCAGAGUGGCCACAGCAAAGCCCAAGGAGCCUGAUCCUCUCUGGAAGUUGCUGUGGCCAUGCUUGGGAUAUUUAACUUAUAUUGGCUAUUGGUUGAGACGCAGGGCCCAUUCUUGCUUGGUAUAUCAGGUUGGGAAAUUGGAAAUGUGAAUUUGACGAAGAUGGAGUCUCUUUAGCACCAAUCAGAGAUGGCCGCCCGGCCAAAUUGAGCAAUCGGGGGAGAAGGACCUUGGUCAGGGAGGUAAUCAAGAACCGAUGGUCACUCUGACAGACCUCUAGAGUUCCUCUGUGGAGAUAGGAGAAACUUCCAGAAUAACAACCAUCUCUGCAGCACUCGACCAAUCAGGCCUUUAUGGUAGACUGGCCAGACGGAAGCCACACCUCAGUAAAAGGCACAUGACAGCCCAUUACACACCACGGACAAACAAAUAUUCUUUGAUGUUAAAAGCAGAGUCCAGCUCCGCCCUCAACUUCUGGACUUGUCUCUGUGCUGCUGUGCUGUUUGUUGCAACUUGGCUAUCUGCCAAACUUUUUGGUUUUAUUUUUUUCCUCUAUUAAUUUUUUUCUCACCCAGACACUUUAACAGGACAUGGUUCUACAGGACCUCCACCAG